rnacentral:rRNA from 1 species
UACGGAGGGGGCUAGCGUUGUUCGGAAUUACUGGGCGUAAAGCGCACGUAGGCGGCUUUGUAAGUUAGAGGUGAAAGCCCGGAGCUCAACUCCGGAACUGCCUUUAAGACUGCAUCGCUUGAAUCAUGGAGAGGUCAGUGGAAUUCCGAGUGUAGAGGUGAAAUUCGUAGAUAUUCGCAAGAACACCAGUGGCGAAGGCGGCUCACUGGCCCGGUACUGACGCUGAGGUGCGAAAGCGUGGGGAGCAAACAGG